rnacentral:lncRNA from 1 species
GGAGUAUGGCAUAUGAUCUUGAAGACUGUUUCACAAUACAAUUUUACAUAAACUUGUCUUCUUAUUGAAUUUGUGUUUUACAUUUAAUGAACAAAAUGCAUAAAGUGUUAUAAAAAACCUAGAAUUUUAUUGUAUCGAAGAAAUUUAAAUAAGGGCAAAAUUUUAUAUCAGUAGGAGAAGAUAACACUGAUAACAAGAGAGGAUGUAUUAUUAAAAAGAGAAAGAAUGAUGUGUUUACAACUGAUCGAAACGAUCGUUUAUAUAAAAGAGAAAUUCACUGUGCAAAUAGUGCAGCGGGCCCCACAUCCUUUAUAUUUUCAACACUUUCGGCGUUUCUUUUUCUGACUUUCAUAACAGUCCCCCUUGGGGACCGGUGUCACUAUCCACUCUC